rnacentral:ncRNA from 1 species
AAUCCGUGCUGGGGGAGCUACGGCUGAGAGGAAGCCGACUUUCGGCUUCGACCCCAAAAACCUGAACGGGGUAAUGCCCGCGUAGGGAAGCACGUGAACCAUUGG